rnacentral:rRNA from 1 species
GACGAACGCUGGCGGCGUGCUUAACACAUGCAAGUCGAACGGAAAGGCCCUGCUUUUGUGGGGUGCUCGAGUGGCGAACGGGUGAGUAACACGUGAGUAACCUGCCCUUGACUUUGUGAUAACUUCAGGAAACUGGGGCUAAUGCCGGAUAGGAGCUCCUGCUGCAUGGUGGGGGUUGGAAAGUUUCGGCGGUUGGGGAUGGACUCCCGGCUUAUCAGCUUGUUGGUGGGGUAGUGGCUUACCAAGGCUUUGACGGGUAGCCGGCCUGGGAGGGUGACCGGGCACAUUGGGACUGAGAUACGGACCAGACUCCUACGGGAGGCAGCAGUGGGGAGUAUUGCACAAUGGGCGGAAGCCUGAUGCAGCAACGCCGCGUGCGGGAUGACGGCCUUCGGGUUGUGAACCGCUUUCGCCUGUGACGAAGCGUGAGUGACGGUAAUGGGUAAAGAAGCACCGGCUAACUACGUG